rnacentral:rRNA from 1 species
AUUGAACGCUGGCGGCAUGCCUUACACAUGCAAGUCGGACGGUAACAGGUCUUCGGAUGCUGACGAGUGGCGAACGGGUGAGUAGUACAUCGGAACGUGCCCGAUCGUGGGGGAUAACGGAGCGAAAGCUUUGCUAAUACCGCAUACGAUCUACGGAUGAAAGCAGGGGACCGCAAGGCCUUGCGCGGACGGAGCGGCCGAUGGCAGAUUAGGUAGUUGGUGGGAUAAAAGCUUACCAAGCCGACGAUCUGUAGCUGGUCUGAGAGGACGACCAGCCACACUGGGACUGGGACACGGCCCAGACUCCUACGGGAGGCAGCAGUGGGGAAUUUUGGACAAUGGGCGCAAGCCUGAUCCAGCCAUGCCGCGUGCAGGAUGAAGGCCUUCGGGUUGUAAACUGCUUUUGUACGGAACGAAAAGACUCUUUCUAAUAAAGAGGGUCCAUGACGGUACCGUAAGAAUAAGCACCGGCUAACUACGUGCCAGCCGCCGCGGUAA